UAUAUAUAUAUAUAUAUACCAUUUUCAUUUCAAGAAACCCUAAUCCACAAAUAUUUUAUCCCAAACAAGAUCCUAGAUUUUUGCUCAAGAACAAUGGCAUUUGGCAAUAACAGAAUCAGGUGAAAAUUCUCCAUCGUCCAAUUGAAUUUAAAUGAAGAAAAAAUUGCUGCAAUAGCUUCACAGUUGGUGACAUGUCUGAGUGUCUGGAAAAAUUAAAUCUUUACAAUAAAUGAAGCAGAUUUUUUUUUAUU